rnacentral:rRNA from 1 species
AGGAAUAUUGCACAAUGGGGGCAACCCUGAUGCAGCGACGCCGCGUGGGUGAAGAAGGGUUUCGGCUCGUAAAGCCCUUUUCUGUGUGACGAGAGAGGACGGUAGCACAGGAAUAAGCGUCGGCUAACUACGUGCCAGCAGCCGCGGUAAAACGUAGGACGCAAGCGUUAUCCGGAAUUACUGGGCGUAAAGGGCGUGCAGGCGGUCUUUUAAGUUAGGCGUGAAAGCUCCCGGCUAAACCGGGAGAGGUCGUCUGAUACUGGGAGACUAGAGUAUGGUAGAGGCGUGUAGAAUUCCGCGUGUAGUGGUGAAAUGCGUAGAGAUGCGGAGGAAUACCAGUGGCGAAGGCGGCACGCUGGGCCAUAACUGACGCUAAGACGCGAAAGCAUGGGUAGCGAA